rnacentral:rRNA from 1 species
UACGGGAGGCAGCAGGGGGAAUAUUGCACAAUGGGCGCAAGCCUGAUGCAGCCAUGCCGCGUGUAUGAAGAAGGCCUUCGGGUUGUAAAGUACUUUCAGUCGUGAGGAAGGUGUUAAGGUUAAUAACCUUAGCAAUUGACGUUAGCGACAGAAGAAGCACCGGCUAACUCCGUGCCAGCAGCCGCGGUAAUACGGAGGGUGCGAGCGUUAAUCGGAAUUACUGGGCGUAAAGGGCACGCAGGCGGUUAAUUAAGUUGGAUGUGAAAUCCCCGGGCUUAACCUGGGAAUGGCAUUCAAGACUGGUUAGCUAGAGUCUUGUAGAGGGGGUUAGAAUUCCAUGUGUAGCGGUGAAAUGCGUAGAGAUGUGGAGGAAUACCGGUGGCGAAGGCGGCCCCUGGACAAAGGCUGACGCUCAUGUGCGAAAGCGUGGGGAGCAAACG